AGCAGUCGCCGCGGUAAUACGAAGGGUGCAAGCGUUAAUCGGAAUUACUUGGCGUAAAGCGUGCGUAGGCGGUGAGUUAAGUCUGCUGUGAAAUCCCCGGGCUCAACCUGGGAAUGGCAGUGGAUACUGGCUCGCUAGAGUGUGUCAGAGGAUGGUGGAAUUCCCGGUGUAGCGGUGAAAUGCGUAGAGAUCGGGAGGAACAUCAGUGGCGAAGGCGGCCAUCUGGGACAACACUGACGCUGAGGCACGAAAGCGUGGGGAGCAAACAGGAUUAGAGACCCCCGUAGUCCCUGUCUCUUAUAC
rnacentral:rRNA from 1 species